CUUGUCCUAAGCCAGCUUUUCAGAAGCUUUGCCUUCACAGGGGAGGACUGAAAAAAUCAUUCAGGCUGGGAAUUUGACUCCAUCCCAGGCCACCCUGUUCACGCAAACCAUCAGACCGCUAAUUUUGUAGGCUAACCCUAUUUGUUGAUGUAACGGGUACCAAACUAGUUAUACAUUUGGCCACUAUAUUCAUCUGGGAAGAAAGUUAUCCACAUUACAAUAUACAAACAUUUGGGACUGACCAACAAGUAGCCUGAGUUUAAGGUAUGCUAUGGCUAUGGGUGCACCCUCAAAAACUCACUAGGAAUACACCAAUCAUACCACAUACAAAUGUACAAGGCUAGACGCACAAAACAAUUAGCCUAAACUUUUUUUAAAGAGAAUGAGAUAUACAGAGUUAGCUCAAAUGUUCAAAUGAUUAUCUUUAUAUUCAAGCAUUAAGCAUAUCAAAAGUAUCAAACAACUUCACACACACACAUUCACUGAACUUGAACAUAAGCUAUAACAAUGUAAGUAAUAUAUGUAUAAUACAAAAGUUGAAAAAGCACUCCUCUACAAAAAAAAACGAGCUCAAUGUUCACUCAUUGGUGUCCAUAAAGCAAGCAGCACAAAACUUAACAUCUAUACACUGAGCCAAUGAAAUUGAACAUUGCUGCAAGUAUAAUACGAAUACGAAUUAACUCACAGCAACCUUUCUUUCGCCCUUGUCAGCCUGUUAAGGAAGAGUCAUAGCAUAGCUGCUUCAGAGUAAGCAGUAAGUAAUUACCACUAGUAAACCAGUAGGUGGUGCAGUAACUCACUGCUCGCUGCCUUCUUGUCAAUGAUGUCAUCUUGGUCAAGUCCCAUAAGAAUCUCCUUCUCUGUUGCCAUCAAAAGGAACCCUUCAAGGUUAUUUUGAGUGAGGGGGAUUCUUAGGUGGUUCUUCACGAAUUUCAGGGUGGAAAAGGUCCUCUCACAAGCCACCUGAGUGAUGGAUAGGGUGAGGAGGAACUUGUAGCCCAAACCGAUGAUGUGAUAAGCAUUUGUGAGCGAUUGUACUGAGACAGGAGAAGAUAGCAGCAUAUCGGGCAGUUUUUACACGCGGAACAACUUCCGCUCACCAACUCCACACUUUCAUCAAGGAUCCUCAAAGCCUUCCCCUGAUUCAUCACUGGCAGCGGCGGCCCUGCUGUUGUGCUCCUCCAAUGCUGACUAUCAGUCUUUCCCACUGUUGUGCAAGGCUGAUCAGUUCAGCCUGCAAUGCCUCAACAGUGGCAUGUUCAUCACAUUCCAGUAAGCAUUUGCUGAGCUCCUUCAUGGCUGUCUUUGGAAGGCCCUUUUCUCUGAUCUCAGGAAAAUGCUUUGAAUUCAUGCAGCAGACAUCUGCACACAGCACUGCAUUUGCUGCAUAACGGCGGUGAGUACUUUCAACAACAGUGUCCAGUACCACAUUGUGAAUCUUGAUUUUGUAAUCCAUGUCUGCGUUAGCAAUGGGCUCGUCUUCUGCCAACUCACCUGCUUCUCUUCUUUUUUUUGUUCUCUUCUCUGGGAGAGCAGUCUGAGCUUCGGCAUCACAGUCCUGCUGCUCCUCGAGAAUGCCAUUGGCCGACUCAACGAAGUCGUCUACACCCUCAGUCUUGGGCACACUUUCUCAGUUUAUCCUCCGUUCCCGUCACCAAGUGCUGUGCUGUUACGAUAUCCAUGCCACUUGUUUGCAAGUAUUUACAGAGGGGGGACGUCUGCUCAAAAAUCCUGAGAAAAUCCUUAGCUAACUUCCCACCACCAAAGGACCAAGCAGCGUGGUAAAGAGGACUCCUGGACAUGAGAGGAGAUCCUGGACGGUAAGGGACCCUGGAGGCAGGCUGGGGAGUAUCGCCGUCCAAAGGAGGAGAUAACGGCAGUGAAGGAGGAGCGGCGGCGAUAUGAGGAGGCACGUCAGCGAAGCAGGCACGAGAGGCAGCCCCUCAAGGUAAGCACGGGGGGCACACAGGGAGUUUGGCUGAGUCAGGUUGGAGACCUGAGCCAACUCCCCGUGCUUACCGUGGCGAGCAUCGUACUGGUCAGGCACCGUGUUAUGCGAUGGAGCGCACGGUGUCUCCAGUGUGUGUUCACUGCCCAGUGCGCUACAUCCCAGCUCCCCGCAUCUGCCGGGCUAGGGUGAGCAUCCAGCCAGGAUGGAUGGUGCCGGCUCAGCGCGCCUGGUCUCCAGUGAUGAUCCAUGGCACGAAGCCUCCAGUGAUGAUCCAUGGCACGAAGCCUCCAGUGAUGAUCCAUGGCACGAAGCCUCCAGUGAUGAUCCAUGGCACGAAGCCUCCAGUGAUGAUUCAUGGCAAGAAGCCUCCAGUGAUGAUCCAUGGCACGAAGCCUCCAGUGAGGAGUCAUGGCACAAAGCCUCCAACGACGGCC
ensembl:lncRNA